GUUAUCGUUUAUUUGAUAGUACCUUACUACUUGGAUAACCGUGGUAAUUCUAGAGCUAAUACAUGCUAAAAACCCUGACUUCGGAAAGGGUGUAUUUAUUAGAUAAAAAACCAAUGCCCUCCGGGGCUCUUUGGUGAUUCAUGAUAACUUAACGGAUCGCAUGGCCUUGCGCCGGCGACGGUUCAUUCAAAUUUCUGCCCUAUCAACUUUCGAUGGUAAGGUAUUGGCUUACCAUGGUUUCAACGGGUAACGGGGAAUUAGGGUUCGAUUCCGGAGAGGGAGCCUGAGAAACGGCUACCACAUCCAAGGAAGGCAGCAGGCGCGCAAAUUACCCAAUCCCGACACGGGGAGGUAGUGACAAUAAAUACUGAUACAGGGCUCUUUUGGGUCUUGUAAUCGGAAUGAGUACAAUUUAAACCUCUUAACGAGGAACAAUUGGAGGGCAAGUCUGGUGCCAGCAGCCGCGGUAAUUCCAGCUCCAAUAGCGUAUAUUAAAGUUGUUGCAGUUAAAAAGCUCGUAGUUGAAUCUUGGGCCUGGCUGGCCGGUCCGCCUCACCGCGUGUACUGGUCUGGCCGGGCCUUUCCUUCUGGAGAACCUCAUGCCCUUCAUUGGGUGUGUUGGGGAACCAGGACUUUUACUUUGAAAAAAUUAGAGUGUUCAAAGCAGGCCUUUGCUCGAAUACGUUAGCAUGGAAUAAUAGAAUAGGACGUGCGGUCCUAUUUUGUUGGUUUCUAGGACCGCCGUAAUGAUUAAUAGGGAUAGUCGGGGGCAUCAGUAUUCAAUUGUCAGAGGUGAAAUUCUUGGAUUUAUUGAAGACUAACUACUGCGAAAGCAUUUGCCAAGGAUGUUUUCAUUAAUCAGUGAACGAAAGUUAGGGGAUCGAAGACGAUCAGAUACCGUCGUAGUCUUAACCGUAAACUAUGCCGACUAGGGAUCG
rnacentral:rRNA from 1 species